CAACAUAUCUCUUGAAACAAUUGUCAUUGAGAAGUGUUUAAAUCUUAAAUCUUUACCUGAUGACAUGAACAGGCUGACCAGUCUUCAAAAGGUUAUAUUACAGAAUUGUUCAAGCAUUGUCCGGUUUCCAGAAGGAGGUUUGCCUUCCACGAAACUGACAGAGCUCCGGAUUAACGGCUGUGAGAAACUGAUGGCCUUACCGAAUAACAUGCACAACCUCUCCUGUCUUCAAGAAUUGAGAAUAGAAAGAUGUCCAGGCAUUGUAUCCUUCCCUCAGGAUGGAUUUCCCACCAACCUUGCGUUCUUAAUGAUGAAAGAUGUCAACAUCUGCAAGCCUUUGUUCGAUUGGGGGCUACACAAACUCAACUCUCUUAGAAUACUGUACAUUAGAGGGGGGUGUGAUGACGUGGAAUCCUUUCCACAGGAGGAAAUGGAAAUGACACUUCCUACCUCUCUAACCACCAUACAGAUUUGAGAACUUUCCAAAUUUAGAAAGGCUAUCUUCAGUGGUUCAAAGCCUCACUUCCUUAAAGAAACUAUCUAUCCUUCAUUGUCCAAAGCUCAAAUACUUUACAGAGCAGGGCCUGCCUCCGUCGCUUUUGAAACUAUAUAUUGAUGAGUGUCCUUUGCUAGAAGAAAGGUGCAAGAAGGAUGAAGGACUCUAUUGGCCCAUGAUAGCCCACCUACCUCCUGUCUCCAGAGGUUGGAGUGUAAACCUCUGGUAACUCAUAAGAAGAGGACUGAAUUCAAUUCAGUUUCAUAAACCAUCAUUCCCAGUUAUUUCUAAGAAUCAACUGAACACAUAAUCAGCGGAGCAUCAUUUCCUGAUAUUGAAUCCUUUUCGGAGAAUUGGCAUUCGAUAUAAAGUUCUUAUAUCAAGUAAUACAGUGUUCUGGUUGAACGGAUGAGAAAGGUUUCGGUGAUCAAACAUGGUAAACAGGAGAAACAUCUCAUCUUAAGAUGGAAAAAUGGAAGUUUUUGCUUGAUUGUGUUUAAUUGUUUCCCUACUUGAAUAGGAAUAUGCUUUAAAAAUUGGCACAUUAUGUGUUGGCAUCAAAGGGAUGUUGGCUUCACAAUACUCAGGAAUACACACUGCAGUGUUCUUAUAAAUUCUGGAAAUGAAAUAGACAAAAUUAUGAAGCUCAAGAGCUAGAACAGAAAAUGAAGGAUCUAGCAAAUUAACUACAGAGCAAUUGUUGAAGAACUAUAUUACAUGAAAUUUCACUUUGUUUGCCUCUGAUAAAUUGUUGGAAGCAAGCAGAAAUCGUUAAUUCAGCCAUUAGAGGUCGCUUCACGGUGAUGUUAUGUCUCGGUGUAUCCUGCUGACUAUUUUCUGAUACGAAUCCUAUUGCUGGCAGUCUCAGC